AAGUCGUAACAAGGUUUCCGUAGGUGAACCUGCGGAAGGAUCAUUAAUGAAUUUUUAGGGCGCUCUUUUUAGAGGUCCGGCCAAUUUCAUUUCCACACACUGUGAACACACUUCUUUUUUACACACAUUUAUUAACACACAAGUCUAUAAGAAUGUUUAAAGUCUCUUAAUUGAGCAUAAAGUUAUAAUACAACUUUCGGCAACGGAUCUCUUGGCUCUC
rnacentral:misc_RNA from 1 species